UUGGUGCUGAGAGACCUACUUAGUAGCUCUCAAUGAGUGCCUCUUAUUAUAGACUACAACGGUAUCUGAGC
rnacentral:snoRNA from 1 species